rnacentral:rRNA from 1 species
AUACGGAGGGUGCAAGCGUUAUUCGGAAUCACUGGGCGUAAAGGACGCGUAGGCGGGUUGGCAAGUCAGAUGUGAAAUCCUACAGCUUAACUGUAGAACUGCAUUUGAAACUGCUAACCUAGAGUAUGGGAGGGGGAGAUGGAAUUAGUGGUGUAGGGGUAAAAUCCGUAGAUAUCACUAGGAAUACCGAAAGCGAAGGCGAUCUCCUGGAACAUAACUGACGCUAAGGCGUGAAAGCGUGGGGAGCAAACAGGAUUAGAUACCCUUGUAGUCC